CAAUAACUCCCGCAAUACGGAACCAAAGAUAGCACUUCAGUUGUACCAUUUGUAUCGAAUGUACCAGCACCAACACCAAUUAAAUUACAAAAUAUAGCCAUUAAAAAAGGACAAAAAAAAUGCUUUAAACGGAAACAAAAACAUGCAGAACAUUUGAUAUCAGCACCAGCAACAAAUUCACAUAAACGUGCACGUACAAAUGUUGAACCAUUUGUUAUUGAAGAUGAAAAUGGUGAUGAAUGUGAUGACAGUGCAAUUUCUAUUAGUGAUGAGUCGGUUGGAUGUGAAAGUGAUGGGUCAAUUGAUGAUAAAAAUGAUUAUUUAAUCAAAAAUGAUGUGUCUAAACAAGCAGCAGCAUUGCCAAUUAAAUCAUCAUCAGACAUUGAUAAAAGAAAAAAAUGAAAUGAAUUAUCAAAAAUAAUAUGUUGAUCAUAAUAUUUAUUAAUAAUAUUUUGAU